UAGGGAAUCUUCGGCAAUGGGGGGAACCCUGACCGAGCAACGCCGCGUGAGUGAAGAAGGUUUUCGGAUCGUAAAGCUCUGUUGUUAAGGAAGAACGAGUGUGAGAAUGGAAAGUUCAUACUGUGACGGUACUUAACCAGAAAGGGACGGCUAACUACGUGCCAGCAGCCGCGGUAAUACGUAGGUCCCGAGCGUUGUCCGGAUUUAUUGGGCGUAAAGCGAGCGCAGGCGGUUAGAUAAGUCUGAAGUUAAAGGCAGUGGCUCAACCAUUGUACGCUUUGGAAACUGUUUCACUUGAGUGCAGAAGGGGAGAGUGGAAUUCCGUGUGUAGCGGUGAAAUGCGUAGAUAUAUGGAGGAACACCGGUGGCGAAAGCGGCUCUCUGGUCUGUAACUGACGCUGAGGCUCGAGCGCGUGGGGAGCGAACAGG
rnacentral:rRNA from 1 species